rnacentral:rRNA from 1 species
CCUACGGGGGGCAGCAGUGAGGAAUAUUGGUCAAUGGACGAGAGUCUGAACCAGCCAAGUAGCGUGAAGGAUGACUGUCCUAUGGGUUGUAAACUUCUUUUAUCAAGGGAUAAAACAAGGCACGUGUGCCUUUUUGCAUGUACUUUAUGAAUAAGGAUCGGCUAACUCCGUGCCAGCAGCCGCGGUAAUACGGAGGAUCCGAGCGUUAUCCGGAUUUAUUGGGUUUAAAGGGAGCGUAGAUGGGUUGUUAAGUCAGUUGUGAAAUUUUGAGGCUCAACCGUAAAAUUGCAAUUGAUACUGGCAGUCUUGAGUACAGUUGAGGUAGGCGGAAUUCGUGGUGUAGCGGUGAAAUGCUUAGAUAUCACGAAGAACCCCGAUUGCGAAGGCAGCAUACUAAACUGUGACUGACAUUGAUGCUCGAAAGUGUGGGUAUCAAACAGGAUUAGAUACCCCUGUAGUC